AACGAACGCUAUCGGUAUGCUUAACACAUGCAAGUCGGACGGACUAAUUAGGGCUUGCUCCAAUUAGUUAGUGGCAGACGGGUGAGUAACACGUGGGAAUCUGCCCAUCAGUACGGAAUAACUUUUAGAAAUAAAAGCUAAUACCGUAUAUUCUCUACAGAGGAAAGAUUUAUCGCUGAUGGAUGAGCCCGCGUCAGAUUAGGUAGUUGGUGAGGUAACGGCUCACCAAGCCGACGAUCUGUAGCUGGUCUGAGAGGAUGAUCAGCCACACUGGGACUGAGACACGGCCCAGACUCCUACGGGAGGCAGCAGUGGGGAAUAUUGGACAAUGGGCGAAAGCCUGAUCCAGCAAUGCCGCGUGAGUGAUGAAGGCCUUAGGGUUGUAAAGCUCUUUUAGCAAGGAAGAUAAUGACGUUACUUGCAGAAAAAGCCCCGGCUAACUCCGUG
rnacentral:rRNA from 1 species